AGAACGAACGCUGGCGGCAUGCCUAACACAUGCAAGUCGAACGCUCGUAGCAAUACGGGAGUGGCAGACGGGUGAGUAACGCGUGGGAACAUACCCUCCGGUUCGGAAUAGCUCAGGGAAACUUGGAUUAAUACCGGAUACGGCUGAGAGGCGAAAGAUUUAUCGCCGGAGGAUUGGCCCGCGUUCGAUUAGCUUGUUGGUGAGGUAACGGCUCACCAAGGCGAUGAUCGAUAGCUGGUCUGAGAGGAUGAUCAGCCACAUUGGGACUGAGACACGGCCCAAACUCCUACGGGAGGCAGCAGUGGGGAAUAUUGGACAAUGGGCGCAAGCCUGAUCCAGCCAUGCCGCGUGAGUGAUGACGGCCUUAGGGUUGUAAAGCUCUUUUGUGCGGGAAGAUAAUGACGGUACCGCAAGAAUAAGCCCGGCUAACUUCGUGCCAGCAGCCGC
rnacentral:rRNA from 1 species